GACGAACGCUGGCGGCGUGCUUAACACAUGCAAGUCGAGCGGUAAGGCCUUUCGGGGUACCCGAGCGGCGAACGGGUGAGUAACACGUGGGUGAUCUGCCCUGCACUUCGGGAUAAGCCUGGGAAACUGGGUCUAAUACCGGAUAUGACCUCCUAUCGCAUGGUGGGUGGGGGAAAGAUUUAUCGGUGCAGGAUGGGCCCGCGGCCUAUCAGCUUGUUGGUGGGGUAAUGGCCUACCAAGGCGACGACGGGUAGCCGACCUGAGAGGGUGACCGGCCACACUGGGACUGCGACACGGCCCAGACUCCUACGGGAGGCAGCAGUGGGGAAUAUUGCACAAUGGGCGAAAGCCUGAUGCAGCGACGCCGCGUGAGGGAUGACGGCCUUCGGGUUGUAAACCUCUUUCAGCAGGGACGAAGCGCAAGUGACGGUACCUGCAGAAGAAGCACCGGCUAACUACGUG
rnacentral:rRNA from 1 species